UACAUAGACUGCGAGCGUUAUUCGGAUUCACUGGGCGUAAAGGGUGCGCAGGCGGCCGAGUGUGUGAGGCGUGAAAGCCCGGGGCUUAACCCCGGAAUUGCACCUCAAACUACACGGCUAGAGCAUUGGAGAGGGUAGCAGAAUUCACGGUGUAGCAGUGAAAUGCGUAGAUAUCGUGAGGAAUACCAGAGGCGAAGGCGGCUACCUGGACAAUUGCUGACGCUCAGGCACGAAAGCGUGGGGAGCAAAAGGG
rnacentral:rRNA from 1 species